rnacentral:tRNA from 1 species
CCUGCCUUAGCUCAGUUAGUUAGAGCGUCCGGCUGUAGACCGGAAGGUCCCCAGUGCAAAUCUGGGAGGCGGGA